CGGAUCCUACUCCUACAGUGAAAAGACGGUGAUGGAAAAAUCACACAACUGUGGAUGUUCGGAUUAACGUGAAGAAUAUUGCACAUAAGGACACUCUCAAGCAGCAAUAUGGAACUAUCUUAAAUAACAGUUUUAUUGUUGUCAGGUGAGCACCUGCUGUCCUACUCUUACGGAGGAUCAGAAAGAGACAGAAAACCAUUUUGAAAUGUCAAUAUCAGAGUUUAAAAGGCAUCUCCCCAUUUUACAGAGGAAUUCAUUGAAAUUAAGAUCACACAAUCCUCUGGAGUGAACCCCAGCAGCCAAAUGUGCCCCACUGAACCCUACCCUUUCUCCUUAUGAAUAAGCUUCCAUGCAAAAUGCACUAUCUCCUGGAUAAGGCUCAAGAAAGAAGCCUAUCAUUGAAAAACAAAUACAUCUUAAGGCGACUCAUUAAGACAAAUUAAGACAGUGUAUUACUGAUAGAACUUGCCUGCUGACCACGGACCACAGAGAUGUGUUUAAACGUGUAUUUGUUUUUAAAAAAAUAAAUCUGUGUAUAUAGGAACUGGUAUCCUAAGAGCAAUACUUUUUUACUUAACUCAUAGUUUGAUAUCAGACAAACUAAAACAGAUGACCAAAGAUGUGUGUACAGAGAUCCCUAGGGAAUCAUUUGCAACACUGGACAAUUAAAAACAAUGAUCAUCAUUCAGACACAACUCACGGGCACUUAACAACAACAAUGAAAUACAAGUCAAGGAAAGGUCAGCGCUCACAGGGAAGACCUGACGAGGUGGGCUGACACAGCGGCUGCAAGAAUCAGUCAAAUCGGUGGAUGAGCGCCCCACUCCCUUGUACAGAGGAGAGCUGGGAGUCGGCACCCUCUCAGUGAAAGCACCGCAGAGCAACAGCAAUUGACUGCACGCUGAGCCAUGGUGCGGGAGCUCAGCCCCACGCUCGAAAGGUGACUAAGGGCUAUAUUCUUACUUUUGAAAAUAUGACUAUAACCCUUUCAAUAAAUUUCAACAAAAACUGGAAGGAACUAUACCUGAAUGUUACAAUUGAAUGUAUCUGACAGAAAAAUUACAAGGAUUUUCUAUUUUGGUAUUUUCCUAAGUAUUGACAAUAAGUAAAUAUUUGAAAAUGUUUUACCAUAGAGCUAAUUUAUAUUAGAUUACAUUUUUUGAAAAGCAGUCUGUUAAAUUAACAUACUGCAUGAACCUAAUCGUACUGGAAAUAUUAAUAGAGGAUUCUUAAUAGUUCCGAUGUUCCUAUUUAUAUGUUCCUUAUUUAAGUAAAUAGGCCAAUGGCUAAACCAUUAAAAAUCAUGUAGCUGAAUUAUCUCUGUUAACAUAGUAAUGUAUUUAUAAAUGAUAACAGUAGUAUUACGCAGUUUCUAACAACCACGUAAAUGAAUGCAAGAAAGAUGUUUGCAAGAAUACACUUGAACGUAUUAAUAAUCACUCUCUGGGUAUAGGGAAGAAUGGGUAUUCUUACAUUUUUUGGUCUGAACUAUUAGAUGUUUUUUCUUUUUUAACAAUGAUACAACAAAAUUAUCAGUAGAGACUUUAUUUUGGAGAAAGUCAGAUGGCCUGAGGGCUCA